UACGGAGGGUGCGAGCGUUGUCCGGAAUCAUUGGGCGUAAAGGGCGCGUAGGUGGCGGGACAAGCGUGCGGUGAAAGCUCGGGGCUCAACCCCGCGUCGGCCGUGCGAACUGUUUUGCUUGAGCACUGUAGAGGCAGGCGGAAUUCCGGGUGUAGCGGUGGAAUGCGUAGAGAUCCGGAAGAACACCGGUGGCGAAGGCGGAUCUCUGGGCCUUGCCUGACGCUGAGGCGCGAAAGCUAGGGGAGCGAACAGG
rnacentral:rRNA from 1 species